rnacentral:rRNA from 1 species
GACGAACGCUGGCGGCGUGCCUAAUACAUGCAAGUCGAACGCUUUGAUUUUCACCGGAGCUUGCUCCACCGAAAAUCAAAGAGUGGCGGACGGGUGAGUAACACGUGGGCAACCUGCCCAACAGAGGGGGAUAACACUUGGAAACAGGUGCUAAUACCGCAUAAUUUGUUUUUCCGCAUGGAAGAAUAAUAAAAGACGCUUCGGUGUCACUGUUGGAUGGGCCCGCGCUGCAUUAGUUAGUUGGUGGGGUAACGGCCUACCAAGACCAUGAUGCAUAGCCGACCUGAGAGGGUGAUCGGCCACACUGGGACUGAGACACGGCCAAGACUCCUACGGGAGGCAGCAGUAGGGAAUCUUCGGCAAUGGACGAAAGUCUGACCGAGCAACGCCGCGUGAGUGAAGAAGGUUUUCGGAUCGUAAAACUCUGUUGUUAGAGAAGAACAAGUGAGAGAGUUACUGUUCUCACCUUGACGGUAUCUAACCAGAAAGCCACGGCUAACUACGUGCCAGCAGCCGCGGUAAUACGUAGGUGGCAAGCGUUGUCCGGAUUUAUUGGGCGUAAAGCGAGCGCAGGCGGUUUCUUAAGUCUGAUGUGAAAGCCCUCGGCUCAACCGAGGAAGGUCAUUGGAAACUGGGGAACUUGAGUGCAGAAGAGGAGAGUGGAAUUCCAUGUGUAGCGGUGAAAUGCGUAGAUAUAUGGAGGAACACCAGUGGCGAAGGCGACUCUCUGGUCUGUAACUGACGCUGAGGCUCGAAAGCGUGGGGAGCAAACAGG